rnacentral:rRNA from 1 species
AUGGAGCAAUCACCGGCGGCAAGUCGUCCAUGGCUGCUGCUUCUCUGCCUCGCCGUCGCCGCCACCGGCGGCGUACUCCAGGCUCGCGCCCAGCUUGACAGCAAAGGUUUCAUAAGCGUAGACUGCGGACUACCGGGGAAGGCGAGCUACGUGGACGGCGGCACCAAGCUAUCAUACGUCUCCGACGCCGGGUUCAUCGAUGAUACCGCCGGCGCCAACCACAACAUCUCGGGCCAGUACAUUCGACCGCAGCUCUCGCGGCGCUACCACGACGUGCGCAGCUUCCCUGAUGGCACGCGCAGCUGCUACACACUCCGGUCCCUCGUGUCCGGUCGCAAGUACCUCGUCCGCGCGGCCUUCAUGUACGGCGACUACGACGGCCUCGGCAGGCUGCCGGUCUUCGACCUCCACCUCGGCGUCAACUACUGGCACACCGUCAACGUCUCGACGCCCGGAAUCAAAGUGACGGCGGAGGCCAUCGUGGUCGUUCCGGACAACUUCGUGCAGGUCUGCCUGGUGAACACCGGCGCCGGAACGCCGUUUGUCUCCACGCUAGAGCUGAGCUAG